rnacentral:rRNA from 1 species
UACGAAGGGGGCUAGCGUUGUUCGGAUUUACUGGGCGUAAAGCGCACGUAGGCGGACUUUUAAGUCAGGGGUGAAAUCCCGGGGCUCAACCCCGGAACUGCCUUUGAUACUGGAAGUCUUGAGUAUGGAAGAGGUGAGUGGAAUUCCGAGUGUAGAGGUGAAAUUCGUAGAUAUUCGGAGGAACACCAGUGGCGAAGGCGGCUCACUGGUCCAUUACUGACGCUGAGGUGCGAAAGCGUGGGGAGCAAACAGG